UACAGAGGUCCCAAGCGUUGUUCGGAUUCACUGGGCGUAAAGCGUGCGCAGGCGGUUAUGCAAGACAGAUGUGAAAUCCCCGGGCUCAACCUGGGAACUGCAUCUGUGACUGCAUAGCUAGAGUACGGUAGAGGGGGAUGGAAUUCCGCGUGUAGCAGUGAAAUGCGUAGAUAUGCGGAGGAACACCGAUGGCGAAGGCAAUCCCCUGGACCUGUACUGACGCUCAUGCACGAAAAGCGUGGGGAGCAAACAGG
rnacentral:rRNA from 1 species